AUUGAACGCUGGCGGCAGGCCUAACACAUGCAAGUCGAGCGGAUGAAGGGAGCUUGCUCCUGGAUUCAGCGGCGGACGGGUGAGUAAUGCCUAGGAAUCUGCCUGGUAGUGGGGGAUAACGUCCGGAAACGGGCGCUAAUACCGCAUACGUCCUGAGGGAGAAAGUGGGGGAUCUUCGGACCUCACGCUAUCAGAUGAGCCUAGGUCGGAUUAGCUAGUUGGUGGGGUAAAGGCCUACCAAGGCGACGAUCCGUAACUGGUCUGAGAGGAUGAUCAGUCACACUGGAACUGAGACACGGUCCAGACUCCUACGGGAGGCACCAGUGGGGAAUGUUGGACAAUGGGCGGAAGCCUGGUCCAGCCAUGCCGCGUGUGUGAAGAAGGUCUUCGGAUUGUAAAGCACUUUAAGUUGGGAGGAAGGGCAGUAAGUUAAUACCUUGCUGUUUUGACGUUACCAACAGAAUAAGCACCGGCUAACUUCGUG
rnacentral:rRNA from 1 species